rnacentral:tRNA from 1 species
GGGGGUUAGCUCAGCUGGCUAGAGCACCUGCCUUGCACGCAGGGGGUCAUCGGUUCGACUCCGAUAUCCUCCA